CACGAGAAAGGGCUUCGGCCCCGGUACAGUGGCGCACGGGUGAGUAACACGUGGGUAACCUGCCCUUGAGCGGGGGAUAACAUUCCGAAAGGAGUGCUAAUACCGCAUAAGACCACGACCUCGAAAGAGGAUGUGGGAAAAGCCGGCCUCUAUAUAUAAGCUGGCACUCGAGGAUGGGCCCGCGGCGCAUCAUGGUAGUUGGUGAGGUAAUGGCUCACCAAGCCUAAGACGCGUAGCUGGUCUGAGAGGAUGAUCAGCCACACUGGAACUGAGACACGGUCCAGACUCCUACGGGAGGCAGCAGUGGGGAAUCUUGCGCAAUGGACGAAAGUCUGACGCAGCGACGCCGCGUGGGUGAUGAAGGCCUUCGGGUUGUAAAGCCCUGUGGGGAGAGACGAAUAAGUCGUGGCUAAUAUCCACGAUGAUGACGGUAUCUCCUUAGCAAGCACCGGCUAACUCUGUGCCAGCAGCCGCGGUAAGACAGAGGGUGCAAACGUUGUUCGGAAUUAC
rnacentral:rRNA from 1 species